AUUGAACGCUGGCGGCAGGCCUAACACAUGCAAGUCGAGCGGAGCGGCGUACGGGUGAGUAAUGCCUAGGAAUCUGCCUGGUAGCGGGGGAUCACGUACGGAAACGGGCGCUAAUACAGCAUACUAUCAGAUGAGCCUAGGUCGGAUUAGCAAGUUGGUGGGGUAAAGGCCUACCAAGGCGAUGAUCCGUAACUGGUCUGAGAGGAUGAUCAGUCACACUGGAACGGUGCCGCGUUCCACGCUCCUAUGGGAUGCAGCAAUGGGGAUUAUUGUGCAAGGGGCGAAAGUCUAGUCCAGCCUUGCCUCGUAUGUGCAGAAUGUCUUCGGUUUGUAAAGCACUUUAAGUUGGGAAGCGUUACCAACUGAAUAGGAAGCGGCUAACUUCGUGCCAGCAGCCGCGGUCGUA
rnacentral:rRNA from 1 species